GAUGAAGCACGUAGCGAAAUGCGAUACGUAAUGUGAAUUGCAGAAUUCAGUGAAUCAUCGAAUCUUUGAACGCAUAUUGCGCUCUCUGGUAUUCCGGAGAGCAUGCUUGUUUGAGUAUCAGUAAACACCUCAACUUCCAUAUCUUUUUUGAAAUGGGAGUUGGACUUGAGUGAUCCCAACGCUUUUCCUCACCGAAAAGUGGCGGGUUACUUGAAAUGCAGGUGCAGCUGGACUUUUCUCUGAGCUAUAAGCAUAUCUAUUUAGUCUGCCUAAAAAACAGAUUAUUACCUUUGCUGCAGCUAACAUAAAGGAGAUUAGUUCUUGUGCUGACUGAUGCAGGAUUCACAAAGACAGCUUCGGCCGACUUUGUAAACUCGAUCUCAAAUCAAGUAAGACUACCCGCUGAACUUAAGCAUAUCAAUAAGCGGAGGA
rnacentral:misc_RNA from 1 species